rnacentral:rRNA from 1 species
UACGUAGGGUGCAAGCGUUAAUCGGAAUUACUGGGCGUAAAGCGUGCGCAGGCGGUGAUGUAAGACAGUUGUGAAAUCCCCGGGCUCAACCUGGGAACCGCAUUUGUGACUGCAUAGCUGGAGUACGGCAGAGGGGGAUGGAAUUCCGCGUGUAGCAGUGAAAUGCGUAGAUAUGCGGAGGAACACCGAUGGCGAAGGCAGUCCCCUGGGCCUGUACUGACGCUCAUGCACGAAAGCGUGGGGAGCAAACAGG